ACUAUACCUUCUCAUCUCAUUCAAUUUUCUUCUCUUACUCUUCUUGUACAUCUUUCAAUUCUUGCGUUUGUUUCAUGAAUUUUCUUUUAAUAGCCUACAUAUGUUCAUUGUGGCUUACAAUUAGGCUGUAUUACUUAGAAAAUACAGCCAAUAAAGAUAGAUUAUUGAUUUUUCUACACCACAUUUUCUUCUUCUGUAGCUUCAUUCUAUUUUUUUUUUUUUAAGUUUUUGGAUUGUCACGCUUGCCUGCGGAUAUUCCAACCACUGAAUCUCUUGUUUUCUCUUGUAAAUAUGGUGAUAUGCAUAUUAAUGUAAAAAUUUAUAGGGAAGAAGUUUUGAAAUGUUGGAGUUUUGGAGAGAGAAGAUGUUGGUUGGCAUGUACUACAAAAGAUCGGAGGUCUAUCGACGUCGAAAAAAACGUCGAAAAAAGUGAUGUCGUAAGAGAACCUUUUUGCAACGUCGCACAGAUAAUGUCGACAGAGGGUGAGGCUUCCAUGACGCCACGCGAGAAGGCGUUGCGAAAAUGUUUAAUUUAAAUAAUAAUAGACUUUCACGACGUCAUGUAUGUAUGCAUCGCCGUUGCUCCAAUUACUGCCGACGUUGCAUGCAAGGCGAUGUGAGAGGUCAACCUUUUGUCAACGUUGCUUUGACCGCAUUAACAAAAGUUGAACAUUUAAAAAGUUAUGACAACCAUAUCACGAUGUCAGAUUGCAAUUGCAUCGUGAGAGGUCAAACCUCUGUUGAUGGGUAGGUAACGUCGCGAGAUGUGUGACAUUUUGACUGCUUUUGAUAGUGUUCUCAUGAUGCCAUAAGUGACUGCGUCGCGAGUUGGGUAUCCAUGCCGACACCAUAAGUGAAACGUUGGGAGUUUCUCUAUAAAAAAUCAACUUCACAUUCUAUAAUUCACAGAACUGAGAAAGAGAAGGUCGAGAGAGAGUUGACUUGUCGAGAGAGAGUUGAGAGAGAUCGAGAAGGAAAGCAAUCGUCGCCGCCCACUCCAUUCCAUUCGUCGUCAUCUGCUGCCGUCGCUCUUCACUCCAAAUUACAAUCUGCUAUAUUGAAGCAGCGAAGAAAAAACAGGAAUAGUAUGAGAAGUCUAUAGAGGAGCUUAUGUGCAAUAGAGGAGCUCAAAGAAAGUCAAAUAGUAGCAGUCAAGAGUUCAACACAUGGAUAGUAGCUAGUAUGAUCAUAGAGAUAUGGGCAGAAUGUGUAAAGAGGGAAGUUGAACAUUAUUACUAGCUGCGUCGAGGGAAAUAAAACCUUGUUUCAAACAGAAAGAACCCUUACUCUGGUGAUUCAAAAAAUUGAUUCGAAAGAGAGGAGUAGAAAAUGACAAGAUCAAUAACAGAAUAGUAAGCCAUAAAAAAUUGAUUGGCAAGAGAGGAACAGUAAACAACUCUCACUUCCUUCUUUACACAUUUUGCCCAUGUCCCUAUGAUCAUACUAGCUACAAUAUGCUGAGGCAUGUGUAGAAGUUGAGAAACUGGUGUCGACACUUAGAACUAUGUUUUAAGUUUUCAUUUUUAUUUUUUAUUAUUCAUGUAAUUUCUAAACCUACUAACGUGUACUUUUUUAAUAUUUGAAGUAAUAUUAAUAUAAAUUCCAUUUGAUAUUUUAAUAA